CUGCUCACCAAGACCAACCGUAUCUACCGCAUCUUUGAGCAGGGCAAGCGCUCGGUCACACCCCCUCCCUUCAUCAGCCCCACCUCGCAGCUGGUCAUCACCUUCAGCCUCACCUCCCUGCAGGUGGUGGGGGUGAUAGCAUGGCUGGGGGCCCGGCCCCCACACAGCGUGAUUGACUAUGAGGAACAGCGGACAGUGGACCCCGAGCAGGCCAGAGGGGUGCUCAAGUGCGACAUGUCGGAUCUGUCUCUCAUCGGCUGCCUGGGCUACAGCCUCCUGCUCAUGGUCACGUGCACAGUGUACGCCAUCAAGGCCCGUGGGGUGCCCGAGACCUUCAACGAGGCCAAGCCCAUCGGCUUCACCAUGUACACCACCUGCAUCAUCUGGCUGGCAUUCGUGCCCAUCUUCUUUGGCACUGCCCAGUCAGCUGAAAAGGUAAUGAGGUCCCCAGGAGGUCUCGCUGCCUGUUUCCUGCCUGUCUGGCUGGUCGAUUCAUUCAUGAGAUUAAAUGCUUCUUCGUGCUUUUGUUUA
rnacentral:sRNA from 1 species